rnacentral:rRNA from 1 species
GAUGAACGCUGGCGGCGUGCCUAAUACAUGCAAGUCGAGCGAACGGACGAUAAGCUUGCUUCUCUGAUGUUAGCGGCGGACGGGCGAGUAACACAUGGAUAACCUUCCUAUAAGACUGGGAUAACUUCGGGAAACCGGAGCUAAUACCGGAUAAUACUUUGAACCGCAUGGUUCAAAAGUUCAAGACGGUCUUGCUGUCACUUAUAGAUGGAUCCGCGCUGCAUUAGCUAGUUGGUAAGGUAACGGCUUACCAAGGCAACGAUGCAUAGCCGACCUGAGAGGGUGAUCGGCCACACUGGAACUGAGACACGGUCCAGACUCCUACGGGAGGCAGCAGUAGGGAAUCUUCCGCAAUGGGCGAAAGCCUGACGGAGCAACGCCGCGUGAGUGAUGAAGGUCUUCGGAUCGUAAAACUCUGUUAUUAGGGAAGAAAAUAUGUGUAAGUAACUGUGCACAUCUUGACGGUACCUAAUCAGAAAGCAACGGCUAACUACGUG